GGGUUAUCCGUACUUACUUACCCUUUUAUCGUUCUCUUUUGCCGGACCUUCAGCUAGCAAGGUGCCCGAGAGCUGUGACUGCACCGAGGGCUAACAUAUUGUGUGUUGUCUCUUCGUGUGCAGGUCGAAUAAAAAUGAUUCUACCAUCAG